rnacentral:rRNA from 1 species
UACAGAGGGUGCGAGCGUUGUUCGGAAUUAUUGGGCGUAAAGGGCGCGUAGGCGGUGCGGUAAGUCUGUAGUGAAAUCUCUGGGCUCAACUCAGAGUCUGCUGCAGAAACUGCCGUGCUUGAGUGUGGGAGAGGUGAGUGGAAUUCCCGGUGUAGCGGUGAAAUGCGUAGAUAUCGUAAGGAAGACCAGUGGCGAAAGCGAGUCUCUGGCUAAAUGCUGACGCUGAGGCACGAAAGCUGGGGGAGCAAACGGG